GACGUAGGGGGCGAGCGUUGUCCGGAUUUAUUGGGCGUAAAGCGCGCGUAGGCGGUCCGUUAAGUCGGGUGUGAAAACCCGGGGCUCAACCCCGGGCCUGCAUUCGAUACUGACGGGCUAGAGGCAGGUAGGGGGAAGUGGAAUUCCUGGUGUAGCGGUGAAAUGCGCAGAUAUCAGGAGGAACACCGGUGGCGAAGGCGGGUCUCUGGGCCGAUACUGACGCUGAGGAGCGAAAGCGUGGGGAGCGAACAGG
rnacentral:rRNA from 1 species